rnacentral:lncRNA from 1 species
CUUUCAGACUUUCAGGGCAAAGUGACUUCCUUCCCCUCAUUUGUUGUUAUCCUGUAACUCCCUUUUGCUGGAGAACUGCAUGGAUGAAGGAUUGAGUAAUACAGUCUUCAAGUAGGCUGCGGUAAUAAGGAUACAAACUGCACUGGUCCUGAAAUGCCAAGAUGGGCCAUUUACACCAUCUUUGCCGUCAUCGUCUUGCUGUUUUUGGUGUGUAUUAUUUGGGUCUUUGUGAAAUACUGCUGCAAGAGCAAGAAAAAGAGAAAGAACAACCCGGACCAUCAGAUCAAUCUACAAGGGGUGACUGGUUCCACGACUACAUCGCUAGUAAGUAAAGGUAGUAGUAGUAGUACUAGCUUGGUCUUCGUGGGAUAACUCAGAGCGUCUGCUCCAAUCUAUCCAUUUCUUCUUGCUUGGAUUGGUCGCCGUUGUGGAGGAGUGAAGUAGAGGUGUAGCCUUAGCUCCUUAUGUAUAGUACCAGUCAAAAG